AUGGGGACCCGUGCCCUUCCGCUCCCUUGCCAAUUCGAGCUCCUCCUCGGCGAAGACCGCGACAGGUGGCCGCCGGAGGCCAGGUUCAUCGAGGCCGCCCACCGCGGCGACGUCCGCGGCAUCAAGGAGAUUGCAAAGGAGCUGGACGUGCACGGGCACGGGAUCCCGGUGACGGUGGCCAGCACGAGCUACAUGGGCAUGAACGCGCUCCACGCCGCCGGCGGCCGCGGCAGGCUGCCCGUGUACCAGUACCUCGUCGAGGAGGUCAAGAUGGACAUCAACAAGCCUGACACCUCCCAGGAUUAUUCACCCGUGGAGCAUGCCGUUACCUAUGGCAACCUUCCUGCUGUCAGGUACCUUCUUGAUCAUGGCGCCGAUGUGCAUCAACAACGUUCAGGAAACAUCAGUCUUCUUCAUUCAGCUGCACUUCAUGGGCACUCUGAAAUAGUAAAGUAUCUUCUCUCUAGAGGAGUGGAUAUUGAUGCACAAUCAAUUAUUGGGACACCAAUCGCUUUUGCUGUUCAGAAAGGACAUGCUGCUGUUGUGAAGAUACUUUUGCAGCACAAUGCAGAUCCCAACAAGGGUACUCGUAUUCUUGGACCUUUAGACAUGGCGUUACACAAAUCUAAUGUGUCUUGUGCGAAGCUAUUGAUUCAGGGUGGAGCUAAUGUGAGUGGUGCUGGUCCUUGUUAUAAUCCCUUGGUAACGGCUGCAGAGAAGGGCUUAACUGAAGCUAUCAAGUGCUUGUUGGAAGCUGGUGCAAAUCCAAAUGUUCUUGACAAGUUUGGUAGAUUGCCAAUAGAGUUGGCUGCUGAGUAUGGUACACGGGAAGACGUUGAGAUGCUCUUUCCUUCCACCUUGCCAAUUUCAACUGUGACAAAUUGGAGCGUUGACGGAAUCAUUAGUCAUGUGAAGAUGGAAAUCAAGCAGCUUGAGGAUGACAAUUUUGUCCAAACGAGGGUGUCUGACCUGAAACGACAAGGAGACGAAGCAUUUAAGAAGCAGGAUUAUCUGAACGCAUCGGUGUUCUACACACAGGCUCUGAAGAUGGAUAACUUCGACGCGAAGUUGUUAUCAAACAGGAGUCUUUGCUGGCUUCGCAUGGGUAAUGGGGAAAGGGCUUUUGGUGAUGCACAUGAAUGCAUAGCGCUUUGCCCGAAAUGGGCAAAGGCACACUAUCGGCUACGCACAGCUUUUAUGUUUAUGGAGGAUUACAACGGUGCCUAUCAGUCUCUCUCGCGCGCUUUAGAGCUGGACCCUGAAAGUAAGGAGAUCGAGAAAUUGUUCUGGGAGGCAAUGGAACUAAUGAGUUAG
rnacentral:rRNA from 1 species